GAGAAACUAUUGUUUCUAUAGUUUUUGUACCACCAAAGGGCACAGUGUUAUUUGAGUAUUAUUGGGAAUGUAAGUUUCUCCUAACCUUUCAGCUUGCGUUUCUUCCUAUUUAGGGACAUGGUUUGCAUGGGAUAGGAGAAACCGUCCACAUACCAUUUCCAUUUGAUGAAAUAGAACUACAAGGAGAGUUUACUCGAGUCAACAUGGGUGUUCAUAAAGCAUUGCAAGUGCUAAGGAGCAAAGUGGACUUACAGCAUUUUUGUGGCUAUGUCACCAUGUUGAAUGCUUCUAGCCAGCUUGCACACCGAAAACUCAGUGAUGCUUCUGAUGAGAGAGGAGACCCUGAUUUGGCUUCCGGCUCAGAUGUGAAUGGGAGUACAGAAUCAUUUGAAAUGGUCAUUGAGGAAGCAGCUCUAGAUUCAUCAACAAAGCAAAACUCUGUGGCCACAGCAGAAGCAGAUUGGGUUCCUCUUGAGCUCUGCUUUGGAAUUCCAUUGUUUAGUUCUGAAUUAAACCGGAAAGUUUGUAGAAAAAUUGCUACACAUGGCCUUUGCAGGAAAGAGAGCCUUCAAGAUCUCCUACAUUCCAGUAGAAAACUCUCUCUACAAGUCCUUAACUUCGUUCACUCAUUCCAGGAAGGUGCUUCGACACUGGAUAUUCACACAGAGGCCAGCUUUUCGAGUUUGCUAUCGCAGUCCUCUGCUGAUAUGGGGGUCCCCCUUCCUGCAAAGAACUUAAUAUUUAAAGAUGGCAUUUUAUCAGAAUGGAGUGGACGCUCACCUUCCUCACUUCUUAUUGCCAAUCUCCAUUUGCAAUAAUUUGGUUACGCCAUGUGUUGCUCACACUUCCGGCCUUUUUCAUUUUAACCUUCGCUUUAUAGUGCCAGCCACUAAAAAGCACCUGCUGCUGCAGUGCAAUUCCUGCUUCACUGAUGAUGAAGGGUUGGGGAACAUGCUUAUGCUUUCUGAAGUUUUCCUCAUUGCACUUCCUAAUGCAACAAAGAGCUUUUUAGCAGCCUGCACUGUAUUUUUUUACCUUGAGACAAUCUGCAUUUCUUUUAUAAAACUGAGGAUAUACUUUAUAGGCUUUAUGAUGACUGUUAUGUUUAUAAGCAGUCACUAUGAAUAUUGCAGUGGUAAUUUUAUAUGUUAGUUUAUCAAACAUGAAUCUUGUUUAAUUUUAUAUUUUGUUACCUAUUCCUUAGGGGAUCAUGGGAAGAGGUGGAACUCUUCCUCUGAGUGGCUUCCUGGUACUAAAAGUAGCACAACUAUAGAACAAUAAACAUCCAGUGUUGUGAGAGGAUAUGAUAGGGCAUUAAGAAUUCCUGUGGAUGUCUGUAAAUUAUGUAUAUCAGUUGAACAUUGUGGAAGGUAUGUAAAUCAGCAUAGUUAUGUAUAUCUUAACCUUGAUUUAUAAGGUCUUAACUUGGAAUAUGACUAUAUACAUCAACAUCUCAUGAGAAUCUUUGGAAAACAUUAUAUUUUUAAACACUUUAUAUGUGGACUUCUGUUGUCACUCACUUUGGGCUUUAUAUUUUCAGAGUCUUUAUGGAAAAAUAGAAUUUAUUUUCCAUUCUCAUAGCUGUGGCUGCUGCACGUUUCAUCCUGAUUUGUUUUUUGUUUCAUAGCUUUACUGAUGAAUUGUUAGAAAUUGAGUUUGAUGUCUUCAAACCAAGGAUUGUGAUUUUAGGUUAGAAUUAGAUGUUAGCGGCAUUAAGACUGUGUCUUCUGAUCAAAACAUUUUAGUGAUAAGCCUACUUAGAAGACAUAUUCUUAGUCUCAAUCUUAAGUUUAUUAAGAGUUUCAGAGAAAAUGAUAAAGAAAAUGAAUAAUUUCAAAAUAUUUCAUGAGUCAUUGAUUCUUUUAGUAUCUCAAAUGAUAAUUAGAUUAAUUGGAAUCACUUUUUAGAUUUUUCAGGUUAUCUUCCUUGGGCAGUUUGUGCAGUGUUAUAGUUUAGUUUAGUUCUUCUCAUAGGCUAAUGGUUUGCUAGUUUAAAACUGUAACCAAACUAACUGGUUAUACAACUUAUAUCUAAAAUACUUUGUAAAGCAUUAGAAAAUUUGGGAGUGUUUAACCUAAGCAUUUGCUGGUAAUUUUGUUACUUGUAGAACUGAUAUUUGUGUAUUUAACACCUGGAAAUAUAUGCCUUUCUGAAAACUGUUAACCAUGCAUUCAAUACCAUGGCCUACUUAAAGAAUCGAAUAUUUUGGAACAGGUUAUCUGUGGCACAGUCAGUGCUGUAUGUCGGAUAAAUGCAGUAACGUUUAGUUUCCUACUCUGUCUUAGAUGAGGUAGAAACCAAGUGUAUGUUAUAAAUGUGUGUCUAUAAAAGGAAAAAUACAUACUAAUAUUAAAAUAAUUUCUUACAACUGUGAAUCACUCUUUUAUUUUUCCAAUGAUUGAUAUUGUACAUUCCUAGUGCUGUUAGGUAUGUAUGUAACUUCUACAGUUUUUCAACCAAAAGUUGUAACUCUUUCAUUUGAUCAGGGCUCUUUAAUCUCAACCUUCUUUUGCUUUCUUUGAAUUGACUGUAGUUAUUUAUUCCUGUAUUAACAGUCGAAGCCUACUGUAAUGACAUGUACACUAAUAAAGAAUCAAAUAUUUGUAGUUGUUGGCAGUGAACCCAGUGGUUGGUGAAUUUGAAACUUAAAAUAUGAGAGUGAUUUGCUGCUAUUCCUUUGAGAGAUAAUGGAGAAAGAAAUAGAAGCUAAAAAUGAUCAUGAAUUAAAAAAAAAGGGCUGAAAAAACAUACAGUCAACUCUGAUUUCUCCUGUGAAUGAGGAAAGAUUCUGAUUCCUAGCUGCUCUCAUACUUUUGAGGGGGAAUCUGCUUUCUUAGAGCUGUUAGUGAACUGCAAGCUCCUGCUGUGCUUGUGCUUUAUGAAUUUGGCUUUUGUUUCCUUCAUACACUAAUCCAUGUAAAGAGCUUGCUCUUAAAUCUUACAGGUGUUGACCCAGUUCAUCAAAAGGUAAAUUUAAAAUGUAGACUUUAUUAUCUGCCAAAGAAGAUUUAUGAAAGAUUUUAUCCAGUUUAUUUUUGGAUAUUUUAAGGUAUUUUCAUUUGGCUUUGGGCCACUUCUCAUUCCCCCUUCUCCCCUUAAUGUAGUUUAAACCAUGGCAAACAUUCUUUGGAAGCCAAGAGAAAAAAUACAAAAAGCACAUAGAAUUUAAUACAAUACGACUUAACUUCUCAAGUGGGUCUAAAGAAAUGCAACUUCGUGUCAUUAAAAAUACGAUCAUCUGAUUUCCUUGAUUUUGUUCUUUUAAAAUAUGUAGUCAGAUGUUUUGUAUUUCUUUUUUUGGGGUAACAGGGCUUUUUCAAGUCGAUGUUUUCAGUUUUCUCUGCCAUUCAUGGUUCUCUUUUAUGUUCAGUGUUUCAAAGACAGUUUGUAUUUAAAGAUUUUAAAGUACCAAAACUGUAACCAGUGCAGUGGUUUCUGGUAUAAUGUUCAUAUUAUACAAUGAAAUGUAUAACUGUUGUCAAUUUGAUUAUUGACACAUAUAAUAUGUUUACAAAUAAACUGGUAUUGAUCAAGUUACUGCUAAAAUGUGUAUAAUGUGUAAGUCCCUUUCUUAAUUUAAAUGCAGCCAUGGUUUCA